rnacentral:rRNA from 1 species
UACAGGAGGGGCAAGCGUUAUUCGGAUUUAAUGGGCGUAAAGGGUGCGUAGGCUAUAAAUUAGAUUAAAUAUGAAAUCCCAAAGCUUAACUUUGGAACUGUAUUUAAAAUCGAUUUAUUUGAGUUAGAUAGGGGUUAGUGGAAUUCUUAAAGUAAAGGUAAUAUUUGUCGAUAUUAGGAGGAAUACCCGAAGCGAAGGCGGCUUUCUGGAUCUAUACUGACGCUGAGGCACGAAAGCGUGGGGAGCAAACAGG